rnacentral:rRNA from 1 species
GGAAUAUUGGACAAUGGGCGCAAGCCUGAUCCAGCAACGCCGCGUGGAGGACGAAGGUCUUCGGAUCGUAAACUCCUGUCAGGCGGGACGAAAGCUUCCGGGCAAAUAGUCCGGAAGCUUGACGGUACUGCCAGAGGAAGCCCCGGCUAACUCCGUGCCAGCAGCCGCGGUACUACGGAGGGGGCUAGCGUUGUUCGGAAUUACUGGGCGUAAAGCGUACGUAGGCGGCUUUGUAAGUUAGAGGUGAAAGCCCGGGGCUCAACUCCGGAAUUGCCUUUAAGACUGCAUCGCUUGAAUCAUGGAGAGGUGAGUGGAAUUCCGAGUGUAGAGGUGAAAUUCGUAGAUAUUCGGAAGAACACCAGUGGCGAAGGCGACUCACUGGACAUGUAUUGACGCUGAGGUACGAAAGCGUGGGGAGCAAAC